CCUAAUGCCAAAGAAGAAUCAGGCAAGAGAGACAAUAAAUUUGAAGGGAAAUAACGUAAAUGUUCCUUAGUUGAGGAUCCUAGAUAUUUAGUAGAUUAUGCCACUGUUUCAGUACAGGGAAAACGUCCUGUGCUCGUGUUAUUGCCAAUCAAGCGGGUGUCCCUUUACUAUAUGUUCCACUUGAGGCAAUAAUGUCUGAGUUUUAUGGUAAAAGUGAAUGUCUUCUAGGGAAAGUGUUUUCGCUUGCAAACAAUCUUCCAA